rnacentral:lncRNA from 10 species
GACACAGUGUUUUGGGCAACCCAAAAGCAACGUGGUGAUUUCAGUGCCCUGAGUCAGGAAGAAGCCGAUUGCAUUUCUCAAUAUAUCCUGGGGUUAAUGGAUGAGAAGCAAGGAGGAUUUCGAAUCAGAAGGGCAACAGCAACACCCUCCUGCCAUUCUUGAGCACACCGCAGGUUUCCAGUGCUGAGCUAGGCACUCUCUGCAGUUUAUUAACCCACACCAGUUGUUACCCAGUCCCAACAGGCCAGAAGAGGAAUGUCCUACGUGAACGUGAUUUAACAGCUCCAUCGCCUGGGGCCACGUGGAAUUCUUGAAGCAGCUGUGUCAGACAUCCGAGUCAAGUUGGGGCAUGAGUGACCUCUCAACAUCUAAUGGAGCAUUUACUCCUUAUCCAGGACACAGGCACCAGUAGAGAACAGCGGAUGCUGCUCAACAUGAGAUGCCAAAAUGCAACAUGGGGACAACCUGGCAGCCACAGAGGGGCAUGCAAUUCAGAUGGGCAGAAGCCUGCAUACACCCCCCAGGGGUACCAGGAACCACUCCAAUUCUGGCGUGGACACCCUGCUUCCUUGUGAACCAACAGCCCUCUUAACCUCUCUGCAAUUUAGAAUCGUCCUCUACAAAAUGGGAAUGCUACUUCCUGGCAUACGGUUUUAUGCCAUCCAGAAUUUAAUGAGAUGCCGAAUGUCUGCUGCAUGUUUUUGUAAUGUACAUGUAGUAUACGUUCCGUGUGCCAUACAGCACUAUAAGGACUGCAAAUACAAUGACAGGGGAAGGCUACAUUCUUACCAUCUUAGCUGAACAGAGUUUUUGCUGUGUCGCCAGAGGAACUUGAGAAAAGAUAGAAAACUCUCAUUUGUUUUUUAGUAGAAAUAAUGAUUGUGCUGAAUGCUGAUUCAUAAUGACCCUUUGGACAGAAGAGAGGGAAGCUCAGAGAGGUUAGGUGUCGUGCUGAGGGUCACUGGCUCUGCUUGUAAGUGACAGAGCUCAGAUUUAGCCCAGAUCUGCAGAGGAGCCUCCAGAAGACUCCACUACACCCCAUGAUCCCACGGAGCUCUGGAUAUUUACAAAAAGAAAUAGCAAAGGUGAUUGGAUGGCUUGGUGCUUGUCCAUCCUUUUCACCCUUGGAUUGCCUUGGCUUAUCAAGGUGCUUGGUGCGCAGUAGCCAUGAAGAGGAUCUGUUAACUGGUACCGAAGCAUGAGACACCUCGGCCUGCCCAUUGUUCUGUGCCCUCUGCCCUCCAACCAGGACUCACACCUCCGGAGUGGUUCCUGGGACUCCCCGAGGAGACAGUUGUCAGGUUCCUUCUGCUCAGCUGAACUGCAUACCCAUCUUUAGCAGCCAAGAUGAUGGUGACCUGGGAAUCCUCCUGCUUACAGCGGCAGUGCCUGUGGAAAGUACUACAGAAAGGCAUCUCUCUCCCUGGCUUAGCCCUGUGGAUGGGCUCAUUUUCCAGCUCUCUCUGCCAACGGGCUGACUCUAUGGUUGAUUAGGGUAAUGAGGCUUAUGCAGGCUUCCUCUGUCCCUCCCCAUGUCCUUGGCUCUGAAAGUUAGCCCUCUGUCUAUCAAUACUGUCUGGCACCAGAAGAAAGCCCCUCUCCCUUCCUGUACCCAGCAUCUGGUUGCCUGGAAACCAGGACAGAAGCCUAGAGCAUCUUGGUUUUCUUUUUUAUUUCCCUGCCAGGUCCCAAAAGCAAGCAGUAUUUGUUUUAAGCAGAACCUUUGCACCACGGAGGCUUGACUUAACCUUGCCCAGAAUGAUUUCAUCAACCUGCGUAAAUGUGAUGCGGAGAGACAAGGGACAGCCACUCCAGGCUCAGUGUCAUUUGGUUAUCAGUAUGCAAAGUCGUAAUUAACAGCAAAGGCUGAAGAUGGAUUGUUUCAGAGGGAGCCAGGACUAGAAUCAACUUGUGUGUGCGUGAGUGUGCGUGUGUAUGCAUGUGUGUGUGCCCAUGCACAUGUGUUAAAAUUGGCAGCUUUGUAAAUUGAAGCUUGCUGUAGCCACAUGCAGAAAGGACGAGAGAUUUUUCUUUUUCCAAAAGAAUAAAAGCCUGUCUUGAAAAUAAAUGUCCUUCUGACUUUGCUUGACAAAAG